rnacentral:rRNA from 1 species
CUUCCCGUAUAGGUNNACCUGCGGAAGGAUCAUUACAGUAUUCUUUUUGCCAGCGCUUAAUUGCGCGGCGAAAAAACCUUACACACAGUGUUUUUUGUUAUUACAAGAACUCUUGCUUUGGUCUGGACUAGAAAUAGUUUGGGCCAGAGGUUUACUAAACUAAACUUCAAUAUUUAUAUUGAAUUGUUAUUUAUUUUAAUUGUCAAUUUGUUGAUUAAAUUCAAAAAAUCUUCAAAACUUUCAACAACGGAUCUCUUGGUUCUCGCAUCGAUGAAGAACGCAGCGAAAUGCGAUAAGUAAUAUGAAUUGCAGAUUUUCGUGAAUCAUCGAAUCUUUGAACGCACAUUGCGCCCUUUGGUAUUCCAAAGGGCAUGCCUGUUUGAGCGUCAUUUCUCUCUCAAACCUUCGGGUUUGGUAUUGAGUGAUACUCUUAGUCGAACUAGGCGUUUGCUUGAAAUGUAUUGGCAUGAGUGGUACUGGAUAGUGCUAUAUGACUUUCAAUGUAUUAGGUUUAUCCAACUCGUUGAAUAGUUUAAUGGUAUAUUUCUCGGUAUUCUAGGCUCGGCCUUACAAUAUAACAAACAAGUUUGACCUCAAAUCAGGUAGGACUACCCGCUGAACUUAAGCAUAUCAAAANUCGGGAGGAA